GACGAACGCUGGCGGCGUGCUUAACACAUGCAAGUCGAACGGUGAACCAUCUUCGGGUGGGGAUCAGUGGCGAACGGGUGAGUAACACGUGGGCAACCUGCCCCUGGCUCUGGGAUAACUCCAAGAAAUUGGGGCUAAUACCGGAUAUGACCGCUGACCGCAUGGUCUGGUGGUGGAAAGAUUUAUCGGCUGGGGAUGGGCCCGCGGCCUAUCAGCUUGUUGGUGGGGUAGUGGCCUACCAAGGCGACGACGGGUAGCCGGCCUGAGAGGGUGACGGGCCACACUGGGACUGAGACACGGCCCAGACUCCUACGGGAGGCAGCAGUGGGGAGUAUUGCACAAUGGGCGGAAGCCUGACGCAGCGACGCCGCGUGGGGGAUGACGGCCUUCGGGUUGUAAACCUCUUUCAGCAGGGACGAAGCGAAAGUGACGGUACCUGCAGAAGAAGCACCGGCCAACUACGUGCCAGCCGCCGCCGUAAUAC
rnacentral:rRNA from 1 species